UUGAGCACCUGGGGAAAGGACCUCGUCAGCCCCAGGAGCACAGGUGAAGGCAAUUCAGCUGUGUGACCUGAAGGGGUGGAGCCUGGCUGCACCUCUCAGACCUCACUUAGGGGCUGAUGGGCACUGGGAAAGGAUCUCCAACCAGAGAUCCUUCCCUUGCGGAGUUUUCCCUGGACUCUUGAUCUUCAGAGCUGGGGAACAGCAUGGAGCAUCCCAGGGUGGGACCAGGGACAUUUCCUACACCGCUGGUGACCCAGUGCCUCUCACCUUGGAGCGAUGGACCUCACCAUCAUCAUCCUCGCCACCGACCCCCAGGAUCUUGCGUGUCUUCAACCUGCUCACCAGGCCAGCAGAUGGCUCCUCAUCGCCCUGGUGCUGAGGUAGGGAGCUGUGGGCUGCCCAUCCCAGCUGUGGGGAAGUUGUCCAGGUCUGCAAGGAGGACGGCACAGCUGUCACCACGACCUGCUGGAGGGGAAAUAAAGAAUCAGCAGUGUGGCCACGGAAGCACCAAAUGGGCUGUCCUGCCUAGAUGGCCUCUGCCAUCAGCUCUGCCACAGGAGCUGUGUGAGCGUGGGCACCAUACUGCCAUCCAUAAUGCGCCUUGUGUGCGUCCCUAUGCGCUGAGUGCAGCCUUGAGCUUCACCAACAUGUGCUGUGAGCUGUUCGGACCUAACCAACGUUAAUGAUGGAAAAGACCACCAAGGCCAUUUAGUCCACCCAGCAACCCAUCGCCACCAUGCCCAUCAAACAAGGUACGUUCCAGCACGGCAGUGUCUGUGGCCCUUUAGGAACAUGGUACCUCUUUGCCUCUUCGCACACUACGGCAAUUAACUGUUGUUAAACAUUUCCCAGAUGAGAGGAACUGAAGUCAUUAAAUGAUGCUCUGCUUUUUGUCUCUUUCUGCUCACCAUGCAUUACACCCUCCAGCUCUAUCUUGGGCAAAAUGCCAUGCAGAUCUCAGAUAUUUGUUUGCUUUUCCCCCCAGACACUGCAGCCCAGUGUAGUGCCAGAACACAUCAGCCCUACAGACGCAAUAUUCCAGAGGCAAGAUCCUCUGUGAGGACAUGUUGCUUCCUGGGAAACAAAUUUGACGGCAAACAGAGCGCAAAUACUGGCUAGGAAAAGACAAGGCAGAGAUAACUGACAGAAGCUGAGACAGAAAAGACAACUUCUGAGUAAGUGCGGAGGUGUCAAGCAAAAUCACUCUACAUCAUCAUCCAGUCCUAAAACCCAGGAAACUCUUGAUUCUUGAAGUCUUUCCUGCUAAUUUGUCUUCCUUUCAUCUAAGCUCAGCCAAACACAAAAAUAUAUUUUCACUUGCCAUUUCAGCCCCCACGAGAGCAGCAGAAAGGUCCCCCACAGGCAGCAGACAUGGCUCAGCUGGUCCCAGCAAGCAUAGGAAUCAAGCACAGGCAAUCCCUCACUCCAGUUGCACUUUCUCGUGGCUGUCCCAGGAGAACAGAAUUUAUGCUCAUGUCUAAAGAAUUCACGAGUCCUCAGGGAGUCAUGAAAUGAGGUGUCAGUCUGUUGGCAUCGUGCACACAAGUGUUCUCCCGCUGUCUUGCAAAGGAUUUGCUGCUCAGGAAAAUUUCUCCAGUGUUGUCCACUGGAGCAGAGUCACUUCUGCAGGACCUCAGAGCACACUGGCAUAACUCUUUGUGAUGCAAACUAAGAGAACUUGCUGGGACAAUGUAAAG